rnacentral:rRNA from 1 species
AGAGUUUGAUCAUGGCUCAGGACGAACGCUGGCGGCGUGCCUAAUGCAUGCAAGUCGAGCGGGCUACAGUCUUCGGAUUGUAGCUUAGCGGCGAACGGGUGAGUAACACGUAGGUAAUCUACCCUUCAGAGGAGGACAACCUCAGGAAACUGAGGCUAAACCUUCAUACGUUCACUGGUAGGGAUACUGGUGAAGAAAGAGUUACCGUUGAGGUGGCUGCUGAAGGAUGAGCCUGCGGCCCAUCAGGUAGUUGGUGAGGUAACGGCUCACCAAGCCGAAGACGGGUAACCGGUCUGAGAGGAUGUCCGGUCACACUGGGACUGAGACACGGCCCAGACUCCUACGGGAGGCAGCAGCAGGGAAUCUUGGGCAAUGGGCGAAAGCCUGACCCAGCGACGCCGCGUGGAGGAAGAAGUCCUUCGGGGCGUAAACUCCUGGACUGGGGGACGAGGAAGGACGGUACCCCAGUAGAAAGGGACGGCUAACUACGUGCCAGCAGCCGCGGUAAAACGUAGGUCCCGAGCGUUGUUCGGAUUCACUGGGUGUAAAGGGCGCGUAGGUGGUUGUCUGUGUCUCAUGUGAAAACUCAGGGCUCAACUCUGAGAUUGCGUGGGAAACUAGGCAGCUAGAGGACGGUAGAGGGGAGUGGAAUUCCCGGUGUAGCGGUAAAAUGCGUAGAUAUCGGGAGGAACACCGGUGGCGAAGGCGGCUCUCUGGGCCGAUCCUGACGCUGAGGCGCGAAAGCUAGGGGAGCGAACCGGAUUAGAUACCCGGGUAGUCCUAGCCGUAAACGAUGGGUGCUAGGUGUUGGGGGGGUAAAGACCCUUCAGUGCCGAAGCCAACGCGAUAAGCAUCCCACCUGGGGAGUACGGCCGCAAGGUUGAAACUCAAAUGAAUUGACGG